UUCGUACCCAAUUUUUUGAUCGAAAUAAUCGGUUUUCAAUUUGAUUUGAUCUCCCCACUCAUUCCAUCCCGCGAAACCCUUAAGGUGUCGCAACUCUGGUAUGGAAUGAGUGAUGUAUUGGACGUCAUCAUUGAUGACGUUCAUUCGAACGAAUGAUAAAGGGGGCUAAGUUCCGUUAAGCUGAGGCAAAUCACUGCGAUUUGGGUCUCUUGAAAACUGGCCGAACACGUUUGCUGAAAUUUGACAUGUAUAUGGACAAGAAUGCGAUCUACCUGUUGGCGUAGGCGUUAUACCUGGGAAAAAUCAAGUUUUCGAGUAUUUUGUGUUGAAAUAUUUUUAUGGGAAACGGCACGCGCGCAUGACGUCAUGAAAAGCGCGUAGGCUAGCUUCCAUCUUGUUAAUAAACAAAGAAACAAAGUUACGCGUUAUUAAUUCAAUAAAAGUUAGGCGUUUAAUCGAUAAACAAAGACGUAAUAAUUGUGUUUGAAUAUCAAUCGGAAGUACACAAGUGUGUUUUUUUAAUAAACAUCACAUAAAUCAAUGUGUUAUUCAACGUAUUGUGAAUUUGUGUGCUACGAGUUGAAGAAAGGUUUACGCGGCUAGGCUUUCCGAGAUAAAUUAGAAACCGAAAGACGGAAAGUAAACAAACCAACCAUCAAAAUGGCUGACGACAUAGCAACGUAGGAAUGAACGCUCACAAAAUAUUUACAAAAUAAGAUCAUCAUAAAUGAUGUAAAGUGAACGCUAGUUAGCUAUUUUGUAGAUAAGUAUACGAUCCAACGAAAAAACAAUAAAAUUUGACAUAAAAAAACACCAGUGGAUAUGGAAAUCAUCGGCGUUUGAAAUAGCAGACGGCGUCGACCAAUGGCUGCCAAUACAGGUUCGAAAAGAACGCUCGAAAGUAUUAACAAAAUAACAUAGAUGAUGUAAAGUGAACGCUAAUUCGCUGUUUUGUAGAUAAGUAUACGAUCUAUUGAAAAACCAUAACAUUUGACACAAAAACACCCGUGGAUAUGGAAAUUUUCAGCGUAACGAAAUAGCAGACAUCACACGGCGUCUCAUCUGGGUCUACGCUGUUUGCCAAGGCCGAUAAUAUAAUGAAUGGAAAUGCACAAACUCAGUAACUGGCAAGCAUAUAUGCAUUAGUAGGUUGUUUCGUGAUUAUUCAGAAACGACUACAUAAUUCUUUUGGUUCUGCCAGUGCAACUUAACAGAAAUAAGUAUAAAAAGUUUCUACACCUGACAACAAUGUGCCAACUUAAUACAAGGUAAGUUGUUUACAUUAUUUAAAAUAUUGCAAGCUUACAGUACUCAACAAUAAACAGCUGGUACAAUGUAAUGUCAUCGUUUUAAUUUUAAUAAGCCCGUGGUUAAUUACCCUUUUUAAUGUUAUGGAUCAAUGCAUCUCUAACACCUUCAAUUGACUUGUUCAUGAAAAAUAUACACCCUCAGUGCAUGCUAUCCCAUACACCAUCAAUCACUUACUAAGGCUCGAUUGGUCAUUCUCGGCUCGGGUACUACUUACCGGUACAUGUACCCCGGGUACUCUUAACUUUACUUACAUGUUCCCCGGGUACGGUAAAUAAACUUAAACAUAACCGCAAAUAUUAUAUUGUAUCCGAGUUGUAUAUCCGCCAAAAAUCCAAUGUCGUUAAACAUGCUACCGAUAACGUAAAACAAUAUUGUUUACCUUAAACAACCUUCUCUUUUAAAAAAUCUGCAUCAACAUGCUUUUUAGUUUGAGUGUUGAGAGGACGCCGUAGGAAUAAGCAAGUAAUCAAGAAUACGUCUCUGUUUCUGCUUUUAUUUCCUUCAUGUAUAAUGACGAUAAGGAUUGACGACUAACAUUGACGACAAUGAUCACAAGCAUUUACGACUAACACUGACAACAAGCAUUGGCGACUAGAUGUAACAUUGACGAUUCUCUACAAUAAAUGAAAUUAACAAUAAAAAAUGAAUAAUAAGAUUAUAGUACAACAGAUAUGCUUUUCAAAGUAUAAUAUAAUAGCAUACACUCAUUAGAAUAAGAGGUUUCAUAAAUAACAAUUUGAAACAUUUUCAAUCAAUAUCGAAAUAUCUUAUACAAUAUUUAUUACACAGCAUGAAUUAAUUGUUAAAACAUAAUAUAAAUACCGAAUAUGGUGUUCCCCAUUUAACGGACCUUGCAAACCAAAUAAUGUUUCUUUUAAAAAAUCUAUGACGGUAAAAAGUGAACCUG